AUUGAACGCUGGCGGCAGGCCUAACACAUGCAAGUCGAACGAGUGGCGGACGGGUGAGUAAUGUCUGGGCAACUGCCUGAUGGAGGGGGAUAAAUACUGGAAACGGUAGCUAAUACCGCAUACCAUCAGAUGUGCCCAGAUGGGAUUAGCUAGUUGGGGGGGUAAAGGCUCACAAAGGCGACGAUACCUAGCUGGUCUGAGAGGAUGACCAGCCACACUGGAACUGAGACACGGUCCAGACUCCUACGGGAGGCAGCAGUGGGGAAGAUUGCACAAUGGGCGUAAGCCUGAUGCAGCCAUGCCGCGUGUAUGAAGAAGGCCUUCGGGUUGUAAAGUACUUUCAGCGGGGAGGCGUUACCCGCAGAAGAAGCACCGGCUAACUCCGGGCCAGCAGCCGCGGUAAUUC
rnacentral:rRNA from 1 species